UGUCCAGUAGCACCUUAGAGACCAACUAAGUUUGUUCUAGGUAUAAGCUUUCAUUACAACCCGAACAAAAUUAGUUGGUCUCUAAGGUGCUACUGGACA